rnacentral:lncRNA from 1 species
AGAGGGAAGAGAUGCAGAGGCAGCAGGACGGCUCGGGACAGGGUCAAAUGGAGAGUGUCAAACGGUGAGCUCGAGAGCUCUCGGAGCUGUCUGGCAUGCAAGAAGACACGCCCCAGGGGCGGUUUGGAAGCAUUCCACCGUCGGGUAGAGCUUGGACCACUCAAGGGGAGUGUCCUGGCCCGCUGGGACACGCGGCCAUCGAUGGACCCGAGUUGCAGCAAAAGAAAAGGAUUCACAGCAUCGUUAUUGCAUGCUGCCAGCAUGGUCACCAUGGCCACUCAUGUCCACAGUGCUGCUAUGACUGGUCAAUCAUGUCCAACACGUAGGGCACACAUGCAGGA